AACGAACGCUGGCGGCAUGCCUAACACAUGCAAGUCGAACGAGACCUUCGGGUCUAGUGGCGCACGGGUGCGUAACGCGUGGGAACCUUCCCUUAGGUUCGGAAUAACUCCCCGACAGGGGUGCUAAUACCGGAUAAUGUCUUCGGACCAAAGAUUUAUCGCCUUUGGACGGGCCCGCGUUGGAUUAGCUAGUUGGUAGGGUAAAAGCCUACCAAGGCGACGAUCCAUAGCUGGUCUGAGAGGAUGAUCAGCCACACUGGGACUGAGACACGGCCCAGACUCCUACGGGAGGCAGCAGUGGGGAAUAUUGGACAAUGGGCGAAAGCCUGAUCCAGCAAUGCCGCGUGAGUGAUGAAGGCCUUAGGGUUGUAAAGCUCUUUUACCCGGAAUGAUAAUGACAGUACCGGGAGAAUAAGCCCCGGCUAACUCCGUG
rnacentral:rRNA from 1 species